UACGGAGGAUGCGAGCGUUAUUCGGAAUCAUUGGGUUUAAAGGGUCUGUAGGCGGGCUAUUAAGUCAGGGGUGAAAGGUUUCAGCUUAACUGAGAAAUUGCCUUUGAUACUGGUAGUCUUGAAUAUCUGUGAAGUUCUUGAAAUGUGUAGUGUAGCGGUGAAAUGCUUAGAUAUUACACAGAACACCGAUUGCGAAGGCAGGGGACUAACAGACAAUUGACGCUGAGAGACGAAAGCGUGGGGAGCGAACAGG
rnacentral:rRNA from 1 species